UACGUAUGAAUGCGAGGGCAGCGAGGCAGUUGCUUGUCUCCACUCUCCAAAAAUAUAAUUUUUUUUGCAGCGGCGACAGACAACCUUAACUUCUGUCCUUUUUACAAGAAAGUAAAGCCACGAAAUUUAUCAAAAAUGUCUGGGAUUCUGAGAGGAGUAAUCGUCCGAUCGACGCCAUCAGUGAGAUCUAUGAUCUUUCAGAAAAGAGGAGUCAGAGUUGGAAAAGCUGCAAAGCCUCUUCAAUCCUGGGAGAGUGCGGCAGGAUUGGGGAUCAUCUCGUUAGGCUGCUUGGCCGUCCCGUGCUGGAUAAUGACCCACCUAGAAGACUACAAGUCUCGUGACUAGCAAGGAUGGAAGUGUGUGAACCUCAGCAAGUCUACGGUCUUCACAUUUGCAUCAACCAAUCAAUAGCCCUCUUCAUCAUCCACAAAACCAAGGGAAAUACAAGUCGUCCACGAGUAUUCACAGGAGUCGGCAAGUGUUUCCAUGCCAGAAUUAGAAAGUGUCUUGGAGCCUAUCAAAUAAUAUGGAGCAUGAAAAAAACAGGUCCUCCCACACUGUGAGAAGAGCUCACUUCAAAUUGAGGUCUCAACCAGCAUUGUCAACGCACUGACAAAAACUAUUUGAUUUGAGCGUCAAUAUCUGCUCGAUUUCUUCAUGCGCUCAGCAUUGUAUGCCGAAUCAAAAUGAACUCACACACGUAACUCACAUAAACACUUUUCUUCUUGCUGAAAAUCUGCUGGGAAUGUUGCCAUCACAGCUUUUCUGUCCUCUUUCGUCACAACUACUCUAAGAUCCAACAGAAAAACGGCCUGAAUAUUCCAUCUAGUCUGUGAGUGUUCAACUGACUGUCGCACCCUGAUUGGAACUGUGAAAAGAUUGCAGUGAUUGUAACCAAGUCUUAAGAUAACAGUAUAGGAUGGGAACUCAUGUAAAUGCAUACGUGUUUUCAGAAUCAUGGUGUCGGAAAUGUAAUAAUCCCAUUUGUGACAUGUACAUUGUUUUAAAUUCAUAGACUGAACCAAAGUUAGAUCCUGAAAAUUAGGAAGACCAUGAAAAUUAGGAAGAGGGCAUCUAAAAAUAGGGCUCGCUCAAUGACGGCCAUCUCUGUAGGAGAACUGCAACUGCGUAUUUUACGUAAUCAAGCAUGCAUUGUUGUUGAAAAUGUUCCAAACACGCACGCUUGUUGCUCGAAAUGUGUUCGAAAUACGACGCAGCCGAUGCGCAUUAUGCAAGUUGCCGCUCAAAAUGCCAGUGCACGUGGAUGGUCUGUAGGAAAUGACGUCAUUUGAACGAGACCUAUUAAAGGUUGCAUAACAUGUUCCCUUUGAGAGACUCUCAUGUUUGGAACAGCCUUCUGUUCUCGCUUGGAACAACCCAUGAACAACAGGUGUUCCCGUUUGAGGUUAAAAAAAAAAAAAUUGCUCGUGCUAAAAGACCAGCAAUGCCAUUUUAUGCAUGAUUACAUGUACUGUACAUCAAUCAGUAUAAACAGUGUCGAAAAGGUGCGAUCAUGACGGAGAAAGCAGAGAUAUCCGAGUUUUUUUAGGUUCUUUCUUGUUAAUUUUGGUUAUUUAGAACGAUUCUCCAUCCAUGCCAAAACUUGUCGGAGGAGAAAAUCAAGUUACAUUUGUGCAAUACAUACAUGUUGCCGCACAACACCCCAAGAUGCUCUCUUCCAAACAAAGUGAACUUCUUCAAAAUUCUUCUAAAAUCUAAAUUUGGUCAUUUAAAUCCAAUAAAACUUGGAUGCACAUUCAGCACCUGUUUUGUAACAGACUACAUGAAAACUGUACUCAACUGUGUUAAAAAUAGGUACUCAUUGUAGACCCUAUCUGCCCUAAAUAUGGCAAAAUGCGUUGUAUGGUUUCGCAGUCAUGUGAUGGAUUAAGAACUUUAAAGCCCAACUACAUUGUUCUGCUACAAAGGUACAAAACAAGUGCAAUUGGUUUACUGCACACUGUAUGAUUCCGGAGGGUUCAGGAAGUGUCCGCAGAAAAUUCAAGCAAGCUAGGUUUAAUGGGGUCUUUAUUUUGAUGUGGGACUUGGAGCACUCUAAUUUUUGUUAAAAGAUUGUAUAGGUCCAGAAAGAGUCUGUUUACAACAUGUUAUUAAUGCUUCAGCAAUUGGUUUCAAAACUGAGGUCAGAUAUUUCAGACCACAUAGCUUGACGUAUGUAACAAACACUGAAAAAUCACUGUAAACAUCUUGAUUGAAUAUUUAGGUUCUGUAGAUUUCUUUUCUACAACAAUUUAUACGAAAAAUCAUGUCCAACAAAUUUUUUAAAAUAUAAUAAAAUAAAUAGGUCAAAGAAAUAAAGUUAUGGAAUGGAUGUAUUUUCUUUGGGGAAAGAGAACGGUUGGUUAAUAAUAUAUUAAUAGAUCACAUGCAUUUUACAAUGUUAUACUUAUUUAUGAAUUAUACAGUUUGAUAAGCAAUUUUAACCCCCGAUGGAUCUUGUCGAAGACUUGCUGUGUAGAGUAGAAACAUCUGAUAGGAGUGAAUUAUUAAAAUAUUAAAGAACGUGUGUCCUUGAAA